AUGGUUAUGUGUUGUUUUAUUGUUUGGAAAAAUUAUGAAUUAUUGAAAAUAAAUACUGUUAUAUACUUCUGUGAAAUCAUUGCCAAGUGGGUUAAAAAUUUAUUUUUGUUUAUCAUGAUGAGAUAUUAUUAUUCGGAUAUAUUUUUGUUUGGAUAUUUGAAUGAUGCAUGACUUGUCAGGGUAUUUUAAUAUAUGGUGUUAAUGGAAAUUUCUGUUCGGUUAAUUAUUACCACGUGGUAAGCCCUCAUUGGACCCAAUGAGUGGCGUGUCGCUUGGUCCAACUCACCUUUGACCAGAUAAUUUGGCGUCCGAGCAUGGUGAAAAGAGGAUAUAAGGUGUAGUCAUACAAUUAAAUAUUGUUCGGUUUGUUUGAAAGUAUUGUUCGGUUAAAUGUUUUGUGUGCCCACUUAGCAAUCGCAUGAUUAGUUACAUCCGCAUGCAUCAUUACAUAUUAAUUUUUGGUUACUGGGACUUUUAAGUCUCAUUCCCUGUGAUUAAUAUUUUUACAGGAGUGAGUCCGGCCGAGAAAGCACCAGUGGUGCAACUGUGGUGUAUGAGACACCAUCUUUUACGUUGCCUCUUAUUUUAGAUUAUACAAUGUAUCUUGUGCCAACUUAGGACAUAUCUUCUUUGUGAAGCAUGUAAACUCUAAUCCUUUUUAUUAAAAGUAUUUAUAUGACCAAGAGGAUUAUGUCUGUCCCUCUUGAUUUAUGAUCUGAUUUGAAUAACAUGCUAUGAGGAUCAUGUCUGUCCCUCAUAGUUCUAAUUGCUUUUUGAGAUAUUUUAAAACUUGUGGUAUAUUGUCUUCGAUGUAUCAUGGUAGAAAUUUUUCUACCAUGAUAAGGGUUCAAUAAAAAAAAAUAAAAAAAAAAUGAGUUGUUGAAUUAAUAAUUUGCAAAAAAUCGGUUUGUAAAUUUGAGGGUGUUACACUUUUGCCAUCCCAGAAUGGCAUUGGUAAUUGAUGAUCGCUUGAAAGUGUGGGAGGAGAAAGAUCAACCUCGUGUGCAUAUUGUCCAUGCAUUUGCUCCCAUACUAUGCACCUCGAGCUGAAGUAAAUUAGCUCAUCUUUAUUUAAAUAUUUAAUGGCAAUGAUAUUCUUCUAUUUUCUUUUUUAACCUAGACUUAUUUAACAUAUUAGUGUUUGUUGGCAAGCAAUGUUGUCCCUAUUUCAUAUGUUGCAAGAAAUGUUGCUUACAAUGUUAAGGGUGGUUUCUUUAAGUAAGAAUUCAAAUCUUUAUGUUUUAUCUGGCUUGUCUAAAAGAAGGAAAAUAAAUUAUAUAGAUUCACUUAUUUUCGUCCCUAAGUGGGAAAAUCUUCUUUGCUUCUUCGGGAAAAUUUGUUAUUGUUUAGAUUUUGAUAUAGUUAUGUAAUUUGUAUUAUGAAGUGAUACGAUCUUUUCUUUUUUAACUAAAAGAAGAAGAGAAGGGAAUGGAUAUAUGGUAGGCUAAAGAUUAAGAGAUAAACUCCAACUUUUACUUCAUCCAAAGAAACAACUCUAAUUUCUUUUCCUCGUGUGCAUGUUAUCCCUACACUUGCCCCAUAUAAUACACCUCGAGUUGAAGUAAAUUGGCUCAUCAUUAUUUGGAUAUUUAAUGGCAAUGAUAUUCUUUUGUUUUCUUUUUUAACCUAAACUCAUCUAACCUAUUUGUGUUUUGUAGGCAAGCAAUGCUGUCCCUGUCUUAUGUGUUGCAAGAAAUGUUGUUUGCAAUGUUGGGGGUGGUUUCUUUAAGCAAGUAAUGUUGUCCCUGUCUUGUGUUGCAAGAAAUGUUGCUUGCAAUGUUAGGGGUGGUUUCUUUAAGUAAGUACUCAAAUAUUUAUGUUUUAUCUUGCUUUAUGUAUUUAUGUUAUGAAGUGAUAGUAUCUUUUGUUUUUUAACCAAAAGAAGAAGAGAAGGGAACGGACAUAUGGUAAGCUAAAGAUUUAGAAAUUAACUCCAAUUUAUGCUUCAUUUAAAGAAACAACAAUGGCAGGUGGUGGUGAAGAAGAAGAAGAAGAAUGCUUUAUCAGUGAAUGAAAAUUCUGUAGCCAUCAAAAUCCAAGUUGCUUUUAGGGGUUACUUGGUGAGUUUGUUAUCCAAGUUCUCAAUCUUUUGCACAUAUAAAUAGUAGGAUUUGUUUCUUGUGAUGUUGUUAGAAUAAGCAAGAACAGCCCAGUUUCCUUUGAUAAAGAGACUUUUUAGAUGGGACAUACAAGGCAAGAGAAAUCUUCUCUACUUAUUUGGGAAAAUCUGUUAGUUUUUAGAUUUUGAUAUUGUCAGGUACUUAUGUGAUGAAAUGAUAUAGUCUUUUUCA